UACGUAGGGUGCGAGCGUUGUCCGGAAUUAUUGGGCGUAAAGGGCUCGUAGGCGGUUUGUCGCGUCGGGAGUGAAAACCCAGGGCUUAACCCUGGGCUGGCUUCCGAUACGGGCAGACUAGAGGUAUGCAGGGGAGAACGGAAUUCCUGGUGUAGCGGUGAAAUGGCGCAGAUAUCAGGAGGAACACCGGUGGCGAAGGCGGAUCUCUGGGCCAUUACUGACGCUGAGGAGCGAAAGCGUGGGGAGCGAACAGG
rnacentral:rRNA from 1 species